CGGGGUACCCUUUGAUCCUACUUAGUUCAACCAAAUGAACUAAAAUUUUAGAACGACAUAACUUUUUGGAAAACUAGUUCAUUGGUUUGAACUAAGGAGGGUCAAAGGGUACCCUA
rfam:Brachypodium distachyon strain Bd21 chromosome 1, whole genome shotgun sequence.